rnacentral:pre_miRNA from 1 species
AGGAGCCCUCGCCAGACCCGGCGAGGGGGGCUCGCCGUCGCAUCUGGCGAGGCCUCCUUGCCGGAUCUGGCAAGGGCUUGC